rnacentral:misc_RNA from 1 species
GAGAGAGAGAGAGAGAUGAAAGAGAGAAGAGAUGGUGAUGUGGAGGAGGGAGAAAUGCCAAAAUGGUGAUACCACUCCAACAGUUUACCUGCAAACUAGCAAUAUUAGGUCACAAGAAUUUCAGUGUUACCUAAAUUGAUGUUCAUGGGGUUUUAUGUUACAAAUUGAAGUUAAGAGAUAACACUGUUAAAGUGCCUUAAGUUCAGGAACAAUUAAUGAAAUUUACCCCACUUAAGUAUCUCCAUCUUUUUUCAUGUGUUUGUCCUAACCAUAUGUUUCUUUU